AUGGGUUGUGGCAAUCUGAUAAAAACAGAUACGUUUCGUACUAAGCAAUUCCCUUUUAAAUUAAGCAGCUAUACGUUACAGCAAACUUACCACAUAGCCAUAUGAUACAAGAAAGAGUGGACUAAGCCAAAAUAAUUACACACUAUGUAUCACUAGAACACGGCAUUGAUGCAAACUUCAUACUUGUCUUCAUCCUAUAGCUAGCCAAAUGCAGAAAGUUUUGUAUUAUUCAGUCACACUCAGACUUGUCUUUAUUCCUCUUUUGAUCAAAUCAUAUAUUACUUCGCUACAAUCCAUAAUAACACUCCACAUUUAUUACAAAUAUGUGACUAAUUAUCUAAAAGCAUAUUAUUUAUAUCCAUAAAAAAUGAAGAACGAGUAGAAUGUCUGAAGUGUUGAUCUGGGAGCUGUUCUGCCACCAACAAGUAGAAAAGUCCCAUUACUCCAGUGUGCUCCUUGGUGCUGCUGUAGUUAGACACUAGAGUUAAAGUUUCACCAUCAACUAUCUUGACAGAACCUGGUUUAGGAUAACAUGUGGACAUUCCUACAAUGUAGCCUGUCUCAUUCCCAGCUUCAUUUCCAUUUCCGUAACUUGGUAUAGAGGAACAUAUAACUCUGCCAUCCUGAAAACAUGAUCCACAUAUUUCGCAAAACAAGCUAUUAAUCUAUUAUACCAUAUUUAACUUCUUAAACAAGCUACUAUACACCUUUUUCUUGUUAAUAAAAGCAUUUGUUAGCCUCAAUUGAAAACUAUCACAUGAUCAAAUAGAAGUGAUUAUAUUUAAUCACAAAUGUGUCUCGGGUCCAACAUGUGUCAGACACUCGAACACAUCUUUAAUCUUAAGUGUCGGUGCUAUACAUGAUGUAAAUCGGGAGUCUCUCUUAAGGAGCAGAAUCGUUAUCGAUUAGAUCCUUCAAUGAUUUCUUUUUUCAAUAAACUUAUGCCACUAAAAAGUGAUAUCUAUUCAAAUCAAAAUAUUUUUGAGUAUUACUGUAAGUUGUAACUUGUCGCUAACUGUUGCAAUUGAAAAUUGUAAAUUACCUGCCCGUAUAGAGUUGAUCCAAUUCCACCUGAAUGCUGAUGAGCAACACCAUAGAUCACAUAGCCACCAGUUUGUAGUGGGAGACUUGUCCUCUUCACAUCAACACAACCAUUUCUUUCUUUAUGGUCUGUGCCGCAAGAUUCAACUUGAUACUCAGUCUGAAACAAAUAAAUUCAUGUUGCUCACUAUAUACCCAACAAAGUAAUGGACUAGUUUUAUGUUUUAGAGUUAAAUUGAGUUGACAAAAACUACAAGUAAGGAUUCUCUGCAGUCUACAGACUUUACAUACACGCAAUAAGCACAUUAAUGACUGUUGGAUCAAGAUUGAAGGGUCUAGGGAUUCCAAACCCAGUGUCAUUGAUUUUAAAAUAAUCAAAAGCUAAAUAUUCUGUGAACUUUUUGAUCUUGAUCCAUCAUCAACCGAUGAUUUGUCUGCGUGAAUCUAGGGUAGCCCAACUACACGGAAUCUAUUUCUAAAAACUAAUGUUUCUUAAUGAAUUCAUUUACCUUGCAAUCAUGGUUUGAGUUCAAUCCUUUUGAAUCAUCUGAUGGUUUCAAAGUAUCAGUAACAUCAAGUAUAUAUAUCUUAACAGGCACUAUAAAAUCAUCCCAAUCAACCCAUUUUACAGUGUAUCUUAGGUAGAGACUUCUCUUUGGACCCUCAAAACCUUCCUUCAACUUGCAUUGUGUAUGGUCAUAACAACAUAACAAACCUCCUUUAUAAUCUGGCCCAAUAGACCUUCCAUAUUCAUCCACUGUAACAUUAUAAAGGUCGCACUUGCACUCAGUGCACCCUAAUUUAUCCUCUGCGCCUCGCGUAUCAAUGGCAUGAACAUUAAGCAACCAUUUAUCCUCAAACCCUUGUGGAAUCUCUUCAGGAUUACCUAUCUCUAUACCGAAAGGAUCUGGAAUAUCUGUUGUCGUUCCUCGUGUUUCUGACCCAAGUCCAAAGUAUUGUGAAAUAGCAUUUCCCUGGCAUAUGCCACUGUUCCUUACAAGAACAUGAUCAGAGUUUUGAAGCAUCAUGUGGCUAACAUCUUCUGUGUGUGUGACAUAUUUUCUUUGAUAAUGUCUUUGAACAAGCCAAUGAUGGAGAUAGGUUUCAUGGAGAGGUAUAGGAUUACCAGCAUCAUCAACUACUUCAGCAUUGAAACUCUUUAGUGCUAUAUGCCCUCUUGGAAAAUCAAUAUCAUAAUAAUGUUUAUUGAUAACUGAUCCAGGUCCAAGUUCAAACUUAGGGGACAGAAAAACAGCUGAUUUGAUUUUAUCUUCGGCCUUCACAAAGGAACUUGAGCAUGUUGUACCAAACAAUAGUAGAAGUAUUGCCUCUAAAAAUACAAAAUCUCUAGAUACAAAACACAUGCUGAUCUGUCAUGGAGUUUUUUUAUUAGUAAUUCAUAAUUAUUGAUUAAAACAAAACAAAACAUCUUUCCUUUAAAAUAUUAUUAACUACAGUACAAAGUAAACGAGGUCGUGGAUUAAUACUUAAAAAAUAUUUAAAAAUCUUUUUUUUUUUUUUUUUGUGGCCGGGUUUCGAACUCCAUAUCUUGUAUAUUUUAUGUAUUGUCAAUAUCAAUUGAUCUAAACUCACGAGGACAAAUAUUUAAAAAUCUAACGACGAAAUAUGUCGUUUUUUUUUAUUUUUUUAUUUUUUUAUAGUAAAUGUUAAUAAUCUUCAUCAUUUUUAUAAUUGAAAUAAUAUUUCUUUUUAGUAAGUAACAUAAUUGCUAGACUUACACACUAACGGUGUAGAGAAGUGGAAAAUCUUUAGUUUAAACCUUUGCCCCUGUAGUUAAAUGUUCUUAGAACUAUCAAUUAAGCUGCAUUUAUAAGAUUGAAAUAAUAAUUUAACUGAUAUUCAUUUUAUUUAAAACAACGAAAAAUAAAUAUUUAACUUGUAUUCAACCAACAUUAAUCAAGUCACUGUUUUAGCCGUAAAUAAGACAAAUGUCACAAAUUUUUAUUUCUAAAUAGUGUUGUUAAUAAUCGUUAAUAUUUCAGAUAAUCUUAAGCAUCGGUUCAUGAUAUAAAGAAAAAUUUGUCCAUAAAAUUUCCGUGAGCUUAGAUCAGUUGGUAGGGAUAUUGCAUGUUAUAUGUAGGGGCCGGGGUUCGAACUCCGAACACCCCAUUUCUACACAUUUAAUUGUGUGAGCUCUAUCCACUAGGCUACUUGACAUAAAGAAAAAUUUGUCCAUAAAAACACUCGACUGACAUAAACUAAUGAUCAAAACACUAGUAUUUUUUUAUUACUCCCUCUCACCAUUUAUAUGACAUCUUUUCCAUUUCUUUUUAAAAAUAUUUCCACUAUUUCUUUGUCAUGUAAUUUAAGACUUUUUAAAAAAAAUAUUAAGAAUUUUUUUUGAGAAAGGGGAAUCUAUUAUUAAUAAGUGGCACUAAAAUAUUUUUUUAAUGGCAAAAUAUAUUACUCUCUCCCUUUUAUAUCUUAAACACCAUUUUAUUAGAGCUAAAGGUUGCUUACAUAUAAGGGGAUUAAAUCCCAAGUAUUACACCAAAAAGAGAAAAAUAAAAACACCAAAAAAAACUCCAAAGAAAAACAAUCAGCACCCUUAAAAUGUCGGAUCACCUAACAAUAGCUCCUAAAAAACCAACACCACCGACAAUGGACAAUUAAGCAACCGAUAAUGAUUUUGCACUAAAGUAUUUUUACAAUUGUCUUCGAGAAGACUCAAAUUAAUACCUUAAAAUCAUGUACAAUAUCAAACUUUUACCACUAAACUAGCACAUCGAAGUAUUUUUUCACAAAAUUUCAUGUGCAUUGAUAAUUUUUUUUUAUAGAAAUGCUCCCUUUUAAUUUACCAAUAAAAAAAUAGAUACAUAUUGUCUUUUAUGAUAUUAAUAGUUUAUAGGGAAAAAUAUGUAACACGACACACAUUUCAGUCAAACUUACUACUCCAUAUAUAAUUUUUCUUAGGCUUAAAUGCACUUUUGACCCCCUAUGUUUGCUAUGGUAGAAAUUUUAGCCUCCUAUUAAAAAAAAAAAAAAAAUUCAGCCCCCUAACUUCAUCUGCUUUUGCAACCCAUAAGCCCCCUCUGAUUUUGACUUGGUCAAAGGUUACUGUGUAAUUUAAAAUAAAAAUAACAAAAAAAAGAAAUUAAAAAUAAUUAAUAGCCUUAGGAUUAAAAAUCGGUGAUCAAGAUUUAAAGAACUCACAUGCUCCCUCUCUUAACUAAUUUUCCCUUCUCCACUCAUUACUACUUCAUGUUCUCCUUCUGAACAACACAAACCCACCCAGAAAAGUCAAGCUCGAUCAGUCUCCAUAUCAUCAACACAUAACCAGAAACUAGAAAACUCCAUCACCUUCAUAUCCAUCGACACAAAACCAAAAAACCUAGAACAAGGACAAGAACAUCAUCUUCAUAACUCAUCACCCCAAAAAAAUCAAACCCUUCGAUUCUAAAUUCAAAUUCAUCAACUAAUCAAACCCAAAAAAACUCAAAGGUGCGAAUAAAUACUCAUGGUGAGUGGCUUGUGGUAAAUCGUAAAAAGAAGAAAACUCCACCAAUUACAGUGAAGAAAAAAUAGAUGGGACAAUUAAUUAGAAACUCAAAAAACUUGGGUGCAUUCAAGUUGCAAUUAAAGGAGGAAUUAAGUCAAAUGAUAAUUAUGAAGAAGGAAGGGAUAAGGCGCAAAUCAUGUCCGAUGGAGGAAGUGAGAAACCACAAAAAACGUGGUGAUGUGGAACCACAAUAGCAGAAUUUUAUGGAACACCGCGCCGGUGUUCUCAACCUUCCAUUAUUUUUUGUUUGAAAUUGAUUUUUCUAAUCUAGAUCUGGAUGAAAAAUAGAGGAAGAAAGAGAAGCGAUUGAAGAGGUGACGGUGGCCGUGUUUUACAUAAAGGGUGACCCUUUAGUGAAGGGAAGUGGCGGUGGAUAGUCAUGGUGGUGGUGGAAUUUCUCUAUGAAGAUGAUGUGAGAACAAGAGAAUAGAAGAAGAAAUGGGGUUUAUUAGAAAGAAGGGACACAAUAACACUUACAUUGAAUCUUUUAAUGUUGACCAUUGAUUUAAUCCUAAGGCUAUUAAUUAUUCUUAUCAUUCUUUUUCAUUUAAAUUUAAUUUAGUAAUAGCCUUUGAUCAGGUCAAAAUUAGAGGGGGUCAAAGAAGGGUGAAGUUAGGGGGCUGAAAAGUGAUUUUUUUAAUAGGGGACCAAAAUUGUUACCAUGACAAAUAUAGGGGCCAAAAAUGCAUUUAAACCUUUUUGUUAAUAUUCAUAAUUUUAUGUAGAGGUUCCUGCUUCCUAUGAUAAGGGACGAAUGAAGUAUAGACAAAGCCAUGAAUAACAUUAGACGCUGAUUAGAGAAACGUGAGUGAAAAAGGGUGGAGUAUAGUGCAGGUAUAUUGAAGAACAAAUAUAUGAAAAACUAAGGGGGGUGUAUUGAAUUGGGAUUUCAAGGGAUUUUAAAAGACUUUUUUAGAAUGAAAAAGUCUAGUGGUAUUCAAUCAAGACUUUUAUAAAAUUUAAACAAAUCUUGUGGUAUUCAAUCAAGACAAUCAUGACUUUUUUUUUAAGGCAACAAAAUCCGUUGGUAUUCAAUUGAGAUUUCUCAUGACUUAUGAAUUGUCCAUUGGUAUUCAAAAGUCUAUAGAUUUUGAUGGAUUCUUGGAUGGAAUGGAUUUUGUGAGACUUUUUAGUUAAAAAUAUCUCUUCCAACAAUCUCACAGAAACCCUUGAGAUUUUGCCAUUGUCUUGCAAACCUUUCUGCCGUCAUCUUCCAUGCCAGUUUUUUCUUUUCUCUAUCAAAUUCUUCAACUUCCAUUUCUUGUGUCUGAUUCUCUUUUUUUUUUUCCAUUACUUUUUUUUUGUUUCAAUUACUUUUUUUUAUCUGUAUACUCUUUUUGUCCAUAUCAAUUACUAUUAUUUGUUUUUGUCUGAUUCUUGCCAAUGCAAUUUUUUUUGUUCGGUUAAUUUUUUUUGUUCAAUACUAUGCUAUGCUAAUCUUCCCCGUCCCCAUCGUCCCUCAGAUUAUUUUUUCAUUGGCAAAUUCGUCAACGCCGAUUGCUUUUUUCCUUCCCACGUUCAACGGUGUCGAUGGAACGCGAUUAACCAAUCGUCCUUACUUUUUUUUUUUUUUUUUUUUUUUUUUAUCAAAUCAAUGUUUUUUACUCAAAAGCAUAAUUAUUUUUAUAGUUUUUGUCUUCUUUUUGUUCGAUUAAUUUUUUUUGUCUGAUUCUUGUCAAUGCAAUUUUUUUUUGUUUGAUACUUGAUUUUUGUUUAUUAUUAUUAUGAGUGUUAAGUUUAUUAUUGGUAUUUUUUUUCUUGUUAUUCCUAUUGAAUAUAUAUAUUGGUAUAUAGUUACUAUACUUUUGGCAAUUAGGAAAAAAAAACUGUUCUUGUGAAAUAACUAGUUUGUUAUAUAUGUAUAUAUUAGUGAUUAAAUGGGGGAUUCACAACAAGAAAAUAAUAGAGGGAAGGGUAAGGACAAAGAUGGCUAUGUAGCUUGGACCAUGGAGGAAACUAGUGAGUUGUUGUACCUUUUGGUGGAUGCUAUAAAUAGAGGGUUACGUGAUGCCAAUGGGUCCCUUAGUAAACAAAAUGUAGAGCGAGCUAUCCUUCCUCAGCUCAAUGCCAAAACUGAAUCACAUAAAACUUAUAAUCAUUACUUGAGCCGAAUGAAGUGGUUUAGAAAUCAAUACAACAAGAUGUCAACGUUUAUGCGUAACAACUCUGGUUUUGGAUGGGAUUCCGUUGCGAAGACUUACACGGCUACUGAAGAAGUAUGGAAUAAUUACUUAAAGGUGAGCUAAGUUCAAAAUCGUUUAAAAGUAUGAUUGAUUUUUAUUUUUUUUUUGUAAUAUUUAUAGUAUAUUAAUAGUGAAUUUUUUUUGUUUUUUAGUCCCAUCCAUCUCACAAAAAUCUUAAAGGAAAAAGUAUGAUUGAUUAUGAUUAUUUGAAGAUUGUUGUUGGAGGUGGAGUGUCUAGCGGAAAUAAUUCUAUAGCAUUAGACCCUGAGGAUACUGAUGCAACAACUUUUGAGCAAGAAAGUGAAAGUUUUGGAAUGGAAGAUUUUUCAUAUGAUCCCAAUAGUGAUACAUUCAUAGCACCAGAUAACUUUUGGUUGUACUUUUGUUAAAGUAUUUGGUUUGCUUUUUUUUUUUUGUUUAACUAAUGGUUGUAUUUGGAUUGAAGAAUUUAGUUCUGUAUGUUUUGUGAGACUAAUGUGGUUAAAAUUUAAUUAUAUUUUCAUUAUAGUAUUUUAUAUAUUACUUUGCAUUGACUCUUACACUACCUUAAAUAUUGUCUUAUAAUCAUGGCAAUGACAUAGAGGACGAAGAAAUUGAUUAUGAAGGAAUGAGUGAAGAUAUAGAUACUGAAGCUAUAGAUGAUGAUGAUGAUGAUGACGAAGAUGAUGAUGAUACAAAUGAUGAAGAAACAGAUGAAGAAUUGUAUGAAGCCAUAUACAUGUAUAUGAUGGCAAUUCAUGCUUUAAUGCACGUGGUAAAUCAGUUUUUGAAUAUGAUGCGUGGUGAACAUGUUGAACGUCCAUUAACUCGACGACGAAUUACAAGUAAGGGAUAUGACUAUAUACAUAAGUCAUUGAAUGGGGAUUCUGAAAUCUUUCGACAAGUAUAUAGAAUGUAUCCUGAUGUAUUCCGAAAGUUAUGCAUGAUUAUAAGAGAAAAAACACCUUUGGUGGAUACAAGAUUUAUUUGUAUUGAAGAAAUGCUUGCGUCGUUCUUACAGAUUGUCGGUCAGAAUACUCGAUAUUGUAUAAUUAGAAAUACAUUUGGCCGAUCACAAUUUGCUGCAAGUGAAAAUUUUCACAAGAUUUUGAAGGCUUUGAACUCAAUAGCACCUGAUUUGAUGGCUAAACCAACCUCAAGCGUGCCUGCAAAAAUAAGGGAAAGCACAAGAUUUUAUCCUUACUUCAAGGUAUGUGAUCAUUAUCUAAUUAUAAGAGAAUUGUAAAUAUAAUCAUCUUUAUUAUAAUAAUAUUUUUUUUAUGGUUAUAUAUGAAUACACUUUUAGGAUUGCAUUGGAGCUAUUGAUGGUACGCAUAUUCCUGCAUUGGUAAGAGGACGAGAUGUAAGCAGUUAUCGUGAUCGUCAUGGAAGGAUAUCACAAAAUGUAUUAGCUGCUUGUAAUUUUGAUUUGGAGUUCAUGUACGUUCUCAGCGGGUGGGAGGGUUCAGCCCAUGAUUCCAAGUUGCUAAAUGAUGCUUUGAAAAGGAAGAAUGGACUAAAAGUGCCCCACGGUAAGUAAUUAAUUUUUAAAAUAUACUGAUGUUGUUUUUCUUUCACUUUCAUACUUAUUUUAUAUGUAUUUUAAAUUUAAUUAGGUAAAUAUUUUCUGGUGGAUUGCGGAUUUGCUAAUCGACGCAAAUUUUUAGCUCCACAUCGAGGUGUGCGAUAUCAUCUACAAGAUUUUGCAGGUCACGGUAAUGACCCUGAAAAUGAAAAAGAGUUAUUCAAUCUUCGGCAUGCGUCUUUAAGGAAUGUGGUUGAGAGAAUAUUUGGUAUUUUUAAAUCGCGUUUCACAAUUUUUAAGUCAGCACCUCCAUUUUUGUUUAAGACACAAGCAGAACUUGUGUUGGCAUGUGCAGCACUUCAUAACUUUCUUCGCAAAGAAUGUCGUUCCGAUGAAUUUCCAAUUGAACCUUCUAACGAGUCUUCAUCUUCAUCUUCAAUGUUACCUAUUCAUGAAGACAAUAAUGAUGAACUCAAUGUUCAAACACAAGAGCAAGAACGAGAAGAUGCUAAUAUAUGGAGGACUAAUUUAGGUUUAGAUAUGUGGAGAGAUGUACAAGGAAUACCGUGAUACUACUCUAAACGGUGAUUCAGUGAAUCACAUUUCCCUUUUCAUAUUGGGAGAUGCUAAUAUCUAAAGAUAAUCUUGUUUUAAGAAACUUCAUUACCAGCAAGACAUAUUUUGCUUUUUUCCUAGUUUGUUAUUUACGAAAUAUAUUUUGUUUUAUCUUUUUGUUAUGCAGUUAUUUGUUUUUCUCUUUUUGAUGUACCGGUACAAGCUCGAUUUUGAAUCUAGAGAUCACUUUGUUUCGGAAAAAAAAAAUUAUUUGUUUACUAUUUCUAUCAUUCACGGUUGUAAGUUUGUUCUUUUUCCGCUAAAGUUCAUUGAAUCCUUUGAAAUAUUAAAAUCUCAUAAAAUCCUUUGAAAUCCUUAAAAUUCAGUGUGAUAAAUCCCAUAAAAUCCUUUGAAAUCCUUAAAAGUCAGUUUGAUAAAUCCCUUAAAGUCUUUUAAAAUCUUACAGAAUCAAUACAAUCCCACAAAGUCUUUUAAAAUCUUAAAGACUUUUUUUGUUAAAAAAGUCUUUUAAAAUCCUAAUCCAAUACACCCCCCUAAAGUAAAAAAAUGUAACUUCACACCAAAUUAAAUUGAGAUAUGAGUCAUUUGAAACAAACGUGUAAAGUUGUGAGAAAAAAAAUUAAUGAACACAAAAUUAAGAGAAUAGAACCUGGAUACGACAGAGUUUGAGCUUUGUUUGAUGAGAAAAUUAGAGUGUGGUGUUAAACUAGAUUCACUUAUACUUAUAGAUGAAACAAAUUCAAACUAGAAGAGAAGAUGUAUAGGGCUUGAGUUGCGUAUCUCACAUGAGAAAGUUCUUCACAGUCACACUAGUCAUUAUAUGCACGUUUUCUUCAUAAUUUAUUUUGAAAAUUGUUUUUCUCUAUUUUAAAAUUGUUCAUUUUCUAUAGUUAAUUCCGACAUUUUUCAGCUAGACUAAACUCUCAUUCUAUAAUGAGUAAUUUUUUUUUUGACAAUUUAUUCUUAAUUUUGUUGAAGAGUAUAUAUUCAAUAUUUAACUUGCAAUUGAGUUCUUAUUAAUUUUUAGUUAAUUAAUUUAAUGUUUUGAUUUUUUAAAGUCCACUUCGGCUAGAUGACAAUACUUCCAACUUACAAGUCAUCAAAAUUUCCCAACAAGGUGUAUUAUUUGAGGAAAACAAAUUGAGACUAUGGAAUAAAAAACAAGGUACUUAAGGGGUCAAAAUUGCAUAAUUGAAAAAAUGGUAUAUUUUCAAAUUGAACACUUGAAAAACCUAGAGAGAAAAAAUUGCAUCUAAACCUAAUUUUUUUAAUAGUACACUAAUUAUUUAUAGUGUUUUAUAUUUUAGGCUUAACAAUAAUUUUGUCCCCUAUUUUUACUAAACAUACACUAAAACACUUGAGGUUUUAAGGUGAACAGCAAUCUAGGAUGAGUUUUACACUGUGUUUGAUAGAAGAGAAAUAAGAAAGAGAGAAAGAGGGAAGAGAGAAGUUGGAUAGAGAGAAGCAACUUCUCCUGUUUAGUUGAGAAUAGAGAUUAAAGAGAGAGACCAAAUAUGGUGGAACCCAUGCCUGUUUUAUUUCUUUCUUGAAUUGCGAAGAAAUAGAGUAGAGAUGUGAACUUUUUUUGCUCUUUUCCAAAACUAUCCCUGGUAUUGUGGCUAAUAUAAAACUAUUGUCCUUUUUUUUUUUUGUUAACACUGUUGUAUUGUUUUCAUGGUUUUUGUUGUAGCAAGGUAAAAACAAAAACUAAUACGCAACUCUCUUUCCUUUACCUCUUGAUUGGAAUCCUCUUAUAUUAUAAUAAAUAAAUUAAACUAGUAGUUAGUUAACUCUAAUGAAAUAGUUUAACCGAUUAAAUUGUAAAAUUGUAAAUAAAUAAUUAAUUAAGCAAAUAAGUUAUCAAAUUUCUUUGUAAAAAAAUUACUUAGUUUCUUAAUUAAAUUAAUGUAAAAAAUUAUAAGUUAUCAGUUUUUAUAAGAAUUCAUAUAUAAUAAAAUUGUAUAUUAAAGUUUAGUAAGGAUAUUUUGGUCUUUUCAAAAGUUUAACACACUUCUCUCUUCUCUAUUUCUCUCAUUUAUCUCUUAUACUAAACAAUAGGUCAAAUCUACUCUAUUUCUCACCUAUUUCUCUCUUCCUAUACUCUCUCUUCACAACUUCUCUCUUUAUAACUUCUCUCCUAAACCAAACACACCCUUAAAGUUUGGAGAAGGCUAACAACUUUCACUUAAGGCAUUGUUUAGGGCUUGCUGUUAAGGUAUAUACAAAGUUUACAAAAGUAAGUUUAAUUAAAUAUAGUUUUUCAAAAUUAAGUUUGAUUAAAAUGAGUUUGUUCUCGUGUGCUUUUUCUUUGGAUAAGUAAACCAAGGCAUUUCAAUUAUGUUGCCACUUCUUAUUUACUGUUACCUAUCAUAUGCAUUUGGUAUGUUGCGGUUUACUGCUAUUGAUCAUUCUGUUUGUCAAAAAAUCUAUUUGAUAAACAAUAAUGAAGAGGAUGUAAAAUUAGUUGGCUAGAGCUCAGUUAGUUAACUAGCUGGUAGUUUCAGUUACAAUACUGUCUUGGUUACACUACACUGCCUCUCAAUAGUAGCCAUUACAAGUCCAGGGCUCGCGACAUGAAACACGCCUUGGCAUCGUUGCAAUAGCAUGGUUCAAUCGAGGAUUCUUUAAUUCUCUUGCUCCCAAUAUCAAACAAAGUGCGAUUUACAUUACGAUUACAAUGAAGCAACUACAUAGUAGAACAAACUUAUUGCAUAGCCAUACGAUACAAAAAAGAGUGGAAUAAGUACAAAAUACAAACUAUAUAUCACAAAAAUGGCAUCAAGCUUGUCUUUCUCCUAUAGCUAGCAGAAUACAGAUAGAAGUGUAAUUGAUCAGUUACACUUGUCAAACUUAUUCUUCUUUGAUCAAUCAUAUAUUACUUUGACACCAUCCAUGAAACUCCACUUAUAUUAUCAUAUAUGUAACUAAUUAUCUAAAAGUAUAUUAUUUAUAUCCAUAAAAAAUGAAGAACGAGUAGAAUGUCUGAAGUGUUGGUAUGGGAGCUGUUCUGCCACCAAUAGGUAGAAAAGUCCCAUUACUCCGGUGUGCUCCUUGGUGCUGUUGUAGUUAGACUCUAGAGUUAAAGUUUCACCAUCAAUAAUCUUGACAGAACCUGGUUUAGGAUAACA
rnacentral:lncRNA from 1 species